GUGUAAGGCGUUUCGCCUGCAGUUCCCCCGACUGACCGCUGGGCGCCGCUAAAGCGAAACGCCCUUUUGAUGAACUGACAGAAGACAAACAAAAGCAUCAACGUGGAGGAAAACCAGAGCACGAACACAAAAUACUAGUAAGUUUCACCUCUUAAACGUUGCAGGACGUCGAUCAACGUCUCUUUUAAUAGCCAAGUCCUAAAUAAACACCCGCGAGUACGGAGAAAUGCAUUAAACUGCCGUCACCGUAUCGCUGAUGCAGUAGGAAGUAAAUAUCACACAUGCUGCUAUUGACCUACACAACAGGCAGACUAAUUCUUUCAUAUAUUUAAUCCGUGCAUUUCUGUUGUGUAUGCAUGUGUCCCAGAGCACUCAGUAUACUUUCUUUUGCAUGCAAAGGAGAAAAGAAAAUCUGAUAUGGAGGCACAGGUAUAGCUAUGCAUUGUGAAUUUGUCCAUAGUUGUCGUGCAUAGAGAUACACUUUCUGGUUUAUUAUUGUGUGAACACUAAAUGAUUGUGUGUUCAGAUGAGGCAGCGUGUUUUCACCGGGGUGGUCACGCAGAUGCAGGAGCAUCAUGGGAUUGUGGAUCAAGAGGUUCACUUUCCAGUGAGCCCUUCAAAUCUCCUCCUCCGCUGCUGCCCUCCAUGUCAUCCAAUCCGAAGCCUGGCAUUUUAGGGACCAAACCACAACCUCUGCUGAAAUCUCCCAAAAUACCACCACUGAUUCCCAGCAUGCAGCCAAAUCCUGGUGGCAUGAUGCAGAUGUCCCAUCACCAGCAGAUGUCCUGGAACGGUCCGUUUGAUGGAUGGGGCGGAAGACGCAAGAGACAUGGGAGGUCGGGACAUGGGACAUGCCGAGGUCAUGGGAGGACGUAGAGGUGGACGCUGAAUCCACGCGAGGCCGACGCUAUGACCAAAGUGCAAGCAGAACUGGAUGAAACCAAAAUUAUUUUGCACAACACAAUGGAGUCACUGCUGGAGAGAGGAGAGAAACUGGAUGAUUUAGUUCAGAAAUCUGAGCAUCUGGGAAACCAAUCAAAAGCCUUUUAUAAAACGGCACGCUCCGAUUGGACACCCCUCGUCUCCGGUUUUCUAUUUUCCCUCUCUUUCUCUCUAUCCUGGUGCGGGCUGGUGCUUUUAUCGCGCAGCGGUCAUAGCGAACGCGCGAGAGGACCGAUCAGAGGGGGCUGAUUUCCCACGAUGCACCACACUUACUCUGCCAUCGGUUGUCAUGUUGCGUGAGAACUUGAUUUUCUUCUCGACGGUUCCUCAGGGUCUGACGCAGGCUCAAAACGGAUCCGGACAAAAGCAUAGAGGGGCUCGAGUCAAACGUCCCCGCUGUGCCUUAACUUUAGACGCAGGCGUGUUAAUGUCAGACUGUUGAGUUAGCCUUAUCAACGGAGGACACGCGAGUGAAAACGCUGCGAUCUCUGUAUCUAGACUCAUUAUUCGGCUUUGAAGCGCCUUGUAGAGUGAACAUGUAGCGUGACUUCUUUUAAAAUGUGAAAAACGGUAAACGACGUGCUCAGUAUUGUGUUCAUAGCUCUCUCAAUAUUGUAAGUGACUGACCAAAAGUAAACGUGUCUGUUCGUGCACAGUUCUAAUGCUUUGUUUCUCUUGGAAAUGUAAAUAAAUUGCUGAAUCGUA